UACGAAGGGGGCUAGCGUUGCUCGGAAUCACUGGGCGUAAAGGGUGCGUAGGCGGGUCUUUAAGUCAGGCGUGAAAUCCCUCGGCUUAACCGGGGAACUGCGUCUGAUACUGGAUGGCUUGAGUUCGGGAGAGGGAUGCGGAAUUCCAGGUGUAGCGGUGAAAUGCGUAGAUAUCUGGAGGAACACCGGUGGCGAAGGCGGCAUCCUGGACCGAUACUGACGCUGAGGAGCGAAAGCCAGGGGAGCAAACGGG
rnacentral:rRNA from 1 species